rnacentral:rRNA from 1 species
AUUGAACGCUGGCGGCAGGCCUAACACAUGCAAGUCGAGCGAGCGGCGGACGGGUGAGUACUGUAUGGGGACUGCCCGAUAGAGGGGGAUAACUACUGGAAACGGUGGCUAAUACCGCAUACUAUCGGAUAACCCAUAUGGGAUUAGCUAGUAGGUGGGGUAAAGGCUCACCUAGGCGACGAGCUCUAGCUGGUCUGAGAGUAUGAUCAGCCACUCUGGGAGUGAGACACGGCCCAGACUCCUGCGGGGGCAGCAGUGGGGAAUAUUGCACAAUGGGAGCAAGUCUGAUGCAGCCAUGCGGCGUGUAUGAAGAAGGCCUUAGGGUUGUAAAGUACUUUCAGCGGGGAGGCGUUACCCGCAGAAGAAGCACCGGCUAACUCCGUGCCAGCCGCCGGGGUAAUA